rnacentral:rRNA from 1 species
CCUACGGGAGGCAGCAGUGAGGAAUAUUGGUCAAUGGGCGCGAGCCUGAACCAGCCAAGUAGCGUGAAGGAUUACUGCCCUCCGGUUUUUAAACUUCUUUUACAAAGGAAUGAAGUGAGGCAUAUGUGCCUUUUUGUAUGUACCUUAUUACUUAGGAUCGGCUACCUCCGUGCCAGCAUCCGCGGUAAUACGGAGGUGCCGAGCGUUUUCCGGAUUUAUUGGUUUUAAAGGGAGUGUAGAUGGGUUGUUAAGUCAGUUGCGAAAGUUUGCGGCUCAACCGUAAAAUUGCAAGUGAUACUGGCAGUCUUGAGUACAGGUGAGGUAGGCGGAAUUCGUGGUGUAGCGGUGAAAUGCUUAGAUAUCACGAAGAACUCCGAUUGCGAAGGCAGCUUACUAGACUGCAACUGACAUUGAUGCUCGAAAGUGUGGGUAUCAAACAGGAUUAGAUACCCUAGUAGUC